rnacentral:sRNA from 1 species
AGACUUGAAGGAAAUGUGCCUUAGUGCUUUGGCCAACCUGACAUGGCAGUCCCGAACACAGGAUGAACAUCCGAAGACAAUGUUCUCCAAAGAUAAGGAUAUUAUACCAUUUAUUGAUAAAUACUGGGAGUGCAUGACAACCAGACAGAGACCUGGGAAAAUGACUUGGCCAAAUAACAUUGUUAAAACAAUGAGUAAAGAAAGAGAUGUAUUCUUGGUAAAGGAACACCCAGAUCCAGGGAGUAAAGACCCAGAAGAAGAUUACCCCAAAUUUGGACUUUUGGAUCAGGACCUUAGUAACAUUGGUCCUGCUUAUGACAACCAAAAACAGAGCAGUGCUGUGUCUACUAGUGGGAAUUUAAAUGGUGGAGCCACUUUUGGAGGUGAAUUCCUCCACUGUCUUCUUUCAGCCUCUCAGACUUAAGUAUUUGUGGUUUGGAAAAUGCUUUUUGCUGAGCUAUGGUAGAAGCUAAAAACUACAUAAUUUGAAGCAUUAUGAAAAUGGCGGCAAUAGCACUUAAUAUGAAACAGUAGUUGAGUUUAAUGUUAGUAUUUAAGAGCUUGUAUGUUGUCAUAUUCUGCCUAACAUGGCCAGCCAUCCCACUUCUGUACUGUUUGCUCUGUUCUGGUUGGAUCUGAAACUUCUUAAAAUAAUCAAAAUGCAAAUGACAAUUAAAAAUGUAAUUGUGGCCACGCGAGGUGGCUCACGCAUGUAAUCCCAGCAC